CCCCUUUCAGGACUGGAGACAAAUGUUUAAAGGAUGAUCCUAGCUAACAAAGUAACAUCUGGCACUUAGUAUCUUGCUGUGACUGAUUGUCUGAUAUAUCACCCCAAAGUGAGGUGCAGUAGAGCCCUAGAAUGCAAAAUGCUUCCUAUAGCGUCAAUACUCCCAGUGAGAUGAGAAACAUUGAAUGAGGAGACUGUGUUGGGACAGAGAGGCCAAAGAAAAAACUGAUUUUCCUACCCUGGAUAUUCUGAAAUGCACCGCUUCUCCACGCCGCCUUUCCUCAUUGACUAUUAUUACCAUGCCUCUUCUGCUGCUGCUGGCUCUUCAAAUACUGGUGUUACCCAAGCUUCAGCCUGAGCCCUUCUCUUUUCCUCCUAUGCAGACUCUGGACUCAAAGAUGAUCACUCUUUUUGGGGGAUGUCAACUGCUAUGUCAUGAGGACACUCAAACAGCCCUGUAGAGGGGACCAUGUGGCAAGAGACUGGAGGCCUUUUGCUAACUGCCAGCAAGAAACUGAGGCCUCCUGCCAAUAGCCAUGUGAGUGAGCCAUCUUGGAAGCAGAUCCUCCAUCUCUAGUCAAUGCUUCAGAUGACUCCAGUCCCAUCCAACAGCUUGACUGCAACCUGAUGAGAGACUCUAAACUGCUCCUGGAUUCUUGAACCUCAGGAACUGUGAGAUAAUAAAUGUUUAUUGUCUUAAGCCACUAAAUUCUGAUGUAACUGGUUAUACCACAACAGAUAAUAGAUCAA
rnacentral:lncRNA from 1 species